UUCGCAAUGCCCGAAAGGGUGACGAAGCGACGCCGCGUGUGGGAAGAAGGCCUUCGGGUUGUAAACCACUGUCGGGAGUUAAGAAAUGCAAGGAUAUGAAUAGUGUCUUUGCUUGACUAAGGCUCCGGAGGAAGCCACGGCUAACUCUGUGCCAGUAGCCGCGGUAAUACAGAGGCGGCAAGCGUUGUUCGGAAUUAUUGGGCGUAAAGAGCACGUAGGCGGCUAUGUAAGUCGGUUGUGAAAGCCUUCCGCUCAACGGGAGAACAGCAUCCGAUACUACAUGGCUUGAGUGCGGGAGGGGAGAGUGGAACUUCUGGUGGAGCGGUGAAAUGCGUAGAUAUCAGAAGGAACGCCGGCGGCGAAAGCGGCUCUCUGGCCCAUAACUGACGCUGAGUGUGCGAAAGCUAGGGGAGCAAACGGGAUUAGAUACCCCGGUAGUCCUAGCCGUAAACGAUGGGCACUAAGUAGAGGGGUUUU
rnacentral:rRNA from 1 species